rnacentral:rRNA from 1 species
UGGGGAAUAUUGCACAAUGGAGGGAACUCUGAUGCAGCGACGCCGCGUGAGUGAUGAAGGAAUUCGUUUCGUAAAACUCUGUUCUUUGGGAAGAAAAGGACUGUACCAUAGGAGAAAGCUCCGGCUAAAUACGUGCCAGCAGCCGCGGUAAUACGUAUGGAGCGAGCGUUGUCCGGAAUUAUUGGGCGUAAAGGGUGCGCAGGCGGCUUUACAAGUUGGAUGUGAAAUAUUGUGGCUCAACCACAAACGUGCAUCCAAAACUGCAAAGCUUGAGUUAAGGAGAGGUAAGUGGAAUUCCUGGUGUAGCGGUGGAAUGCGUAGAUAUCAGGAGGAAUACCGGUGGCGAAGGCGACUUACUGGACUUAAACUGACGCUCAGGCACGAAAGCGUGGGGAGCAAACAGG